rnacentral:rRNA from 1 species
UGCAGUCGAGCGGUAACAUUUCAAAAGCUUGCUUUUGAAGAUGACGAGCGGCGGACGGGUGAGUAAUGGCUGGGAACCUGCCCUGACGUGGGGGAUAACAGUUGGAAACGACUGCUAAUACCGCAUGAUGUCUACGGACCAAAGAGGGGGAUCUUCGGACCUCUCGCGUCGGGAUGGGCCCAGUUGGGAUUAGCUAGUUGGUGAGGUAAUGGCUCACCAAGGCGACGAUCCCUAGCUGGUUUGAGAGGAUGAUCAGCCACACUGGAACUGAGACACGGUCCAGACUCCUACGGGAGGCAGCAGUGGGGAAUAUUGCACAAUGGGCGCAAGCCUGAUGCAGCCAUGCCGCGUGUGUGAAGAAGGCCUUCGGGUUGUAAAGCACUUUCAGCAGUGAAGAAGGUUGGUGCGUUAAUGGCGUAUCAAUUUGACGUUAGCUGCAGAAGAAGCACCGGCUAACUCCGUGCCAGCAACCGCGGUAAUACGGAGGGUGCGAGCGUUAAUCGGAAUUACUGGGCGUAAAGCGCAUGCAGGCGGUUUGUUAAGCAAGAUGUGAAAGCCCCGGGCUCAACCUGGGAACCGCAUUUUGAACUGGCAGGCUAGAGUCUUGUAGAGGGGGGUAGAAUUUCAGGUGUAGCGGUGAAAUGCGUAGAGAUCUGAAGGAAUACC